rnacentral:tRNA from 1 species
GUAGGCAUAGUUUAAAAAAANCAUUAGAUUGUGAUUCUNAAAAAAGGGGUUAAAAUCCCCUUGUCCACC